GUUUAAUUGAUUUACUGCUGAAAUCCUUGUUUUGCUCUCUUUGCUGCAUUCCUGGCUGUGCUGCGGGCAUUUUGCUGUGCUUUGGUGACAGCCGUUUUCAGUAGAACAGUAGGCACUAAAUUCUUACACGUUUCUUCUUAUCCGGUAAGGAAAAUUCAGGAGUGAAAGGUGUAUUGAUUUAACUGGAGACUGAAUGUGUCGUUUGGAGUUCUUUUCCUCUACUCUUUCCCUUCUCUCUUCCACACAAACACAACUGAAUCCCCUUCCGUUUCUAGGAGAAGGCGCCUAGGCGCUGUCCGUAGUGCUGAAAUGGUGCGUGGUGAGACCUGUCUCCCCAACACAAGCUAGAAGACAACAAAAUAGCAGCCAGGAAACGCUCUGAUAAAGCUCUAGAUAGCUGCCAGGUGAUGCCAGAGAUUACUAGUUUUGGGACCAAUUAAAGUAGCAAGAUGCAGCCAGGAGUGGUGGCUUAUGCCUGUAAUCCCAGCACUUUGGGAGGCCGAGGUAGGAGGAUCACCUGAGGUGAGGAGUUUGAGACCAGCCUGACCAACAUGGCGAAACCCUGUCUCUACUAAAAAUACAAAAAUUAGCUGGGUGUGGUGGUGGGUGCCUGUAAUCCCAGCUACUCAGGAGACUGAGGCAGGAGAAUCACUUGAACUCAGGAGGCGGACAUUGCAGUGAGCUGAGAUUGUGCCACUGCACUCCAGCCUGGGUGACAGAGCGAGACAUUGUCUCAAAAUAAAUAAAUAAAUAAAAAUAAAGUAGCAAGAUGCUAGAGAUAUUGAAUUCUGGCAAUGCAGUCAGUCAUAGAUUGUGGGAAAGGAGAUCAUUUUAUUCCAUCUAUUAUUCUAUGUAUGUUUCCAAACUGUUACAAAAAUAAUUUAUUCAAAAUUAGUUCAGAGACUAAUCAUGUAAACAUUUUGUCUGUACAGUAUGAACAAUUUUUUAUGAAUUUGAUUCCUUUGAUUUUGAUUUUGACAUUGUCUGGACCAGUGGUAUAGUUGAGUCUGUAUUUCCAUACUAUGAUCUAUAACCAUUCAUUCUCUUUGCAGGCCGAGCUCAAGGGAGCAGAACUAAGAUUAGGUUCCACUUUCUUUGCUAGAUGCUGAGAUACAAAGAUAAAUGAGAUUUGGUCUCUGCCCUCGAGGAGAUACGUGGCAAAAUAAUAUGGUAAGUUCUACAAAGUUCUAUACAAACACAGAUUAAUAUGCUAUUCAUGUUUUAUUAGCCAUUGCCAAAGAAGGGAUGAAGAACUGCAAAAAGAUAAAACACAGAAUACUUGUACUUCAGGUCCUUGCCAAUAUCUACUGCCCAACUUUUACAAAAAAAAUUGCUGAAAGGCAUGAAAUAUAUGAAUGCCUUUCUAAAGCACAUGUGGAUAAUCUAUACUUCUGGAGCAUCUAUGAUUUAUUUUCAGAACAAUCCAAGUUAUUAGAAAGGUAAAUAUGUUGGUGACAUUGUUUAGAAGUUCCUCAAGCAGAAUUGCCUUUACUAUGCUUUGACAUUAUGCUCUCAGCUUAUAUACAGUAAUUCUAUGUGAAACAGUAGCCAGCUUACACAACCUGCUCUAUAUCUACUACAGAGCUGUUACUAAAGUGUUGGUCAACAUAUAACUUACUAUUUCUUAUAUAAAGAUGCCCAAGAAAUUUAGAUUUCAUAGAUAUAUCCCCAAAAGCAUUUCUUUCAAUACCAGUUUAAUGAAUUGAACUUUCAUACCUCACUUAAAUCAACCCAGGGUAAAGUGGUAUGUUCUGUUCUUACACACAAUGAAAAUCAUGUAACUAAUUAAAGUUAGCAUUUAUUUUAGCUACUAGGGAUGCCAGAGUCAAAUUAACAGCUGAAAAUGAAUAACUACAUAAGACCUUAAGCCUUUUAUAUCUUUUCUUUUUUUUUAAUCACCUUAACUACUGCAAUUUUGGUUUCUUAGGUAAUGAUAAUAUUAUUUUCUUUUAAUUAUUUGUUUUAAUGUGUGACCUCAUGUAAAUGUCCUCAUAAAAUCAGAAGUGGAGUAAAUAAAUAAAUAAAGUAAAUUUCUCUACUUUUUGAUUAUUGGGUGAGUGUAUAUGGUUGUUUUAUAAAUUUAUUCUAAAUAGGAUACUAAAAUACAGAAAAUGUAUCAUCUAAUUAGCUAUGAAGAUAAAAAUCUAAACUAUAAUGAGGAAAUAUUAAAAUGUCAAGAUGACGAAGAAAUUUUUCAGUUUAUAUAAUUAUAGAUCAGCUUAAUUUCAAACCACUUUGUUACCCUAUUGCUAUUUUUAUACUCUAAAUAGUGUCCCUUAUAUGACUAAGACUUUUUGUUAUCUCAGAGAUUGGAAGUGUUAAUUGUCCACCUUGUUAGAAGACAUGGUAACUAUAGGAAUUUAGAAAGCAUGAUAGCCCAACUGUAAUGAAUAUAUUCUAGAAUGAGGUUGUCACAAAGAAACUGAAAACAAGAAUUUCCUCUAACAACUGAGCUCAGGAUUCUUUUCAGAGGAAAAUUUAGCUUGCAUAAAUUCUUGCCAUCUUGGCUCUAGUUGACUUCUUGCUCUCAACUUUUGCAAAGUGAGAUCACCUUUACCUCUUCAACCUAUGAGGCCAACAUGUUACUUUCAAUUUUUCAGGAAAAUCUACGUCUUGUUUGGCUGAGGUUUGAUUAUUAUUCCUUAACUAAAAUAUUUUAAUGUAGCUGUGCUUUUUAAUUUGAAUAUUGCUAUUGAUUCAAACAUUGGGUAGCAUAUCUUUCAAAUGUGAAAUUUUAAAACAUGUAUUAAAGACAAACAUAAAUUAGUUUUGGUAUAACUAUUUUUUAAGAUUAAUCCAAUGCUUUUUUGGCUUUAGAUGAUGUUUGGUAAUUAGCUAUAUUCAAAAGUCAACCUUUUUUUUUUUUCAAAAAAUGAACUCCUAUGUAUAUGAGUGUUAUUUUUAUCUACCCAUGUCUUUUUUGUCUACAUAUACAGUUUUAAUCAUUGUUUCGGGGGGAGGAAUAAGAAUGAUUUUGAAAUUUCACUAAGAAAGAUAUGCCCUCUUCCUAAAAAUACAUAUAUACAGAUGUUUUGCUCACAGCUCAGGUAUUCAUGGAUCUCUGGAAGUUCAUUUUUAUAAUCCCAAGGUAAUCCAAAGAGCCUGCUAAAAAAUUCUGCUGUAAAUGCAUGGUACAUGAUCUCAUUCCCUGUUUUACAACGAAGUAUUGAAUGGCUUAAACUCCUACUUUUUUUUUUUUUUUUUUUUUUGAGAUGGAGUCUCCCUCUGUUACCCAGGCUGGAGUGCAGUGGCUCGAUCUCUGCUCACUGCAACCUCUGCCUCCUGGGUUCAAGCGAUUCUCCUGCCUCAGCCUUCUGAGUAACUGGGAUUACAAGCACAUGCCAUCAGGCCUGGCUAAUUUUUAUUUUUUUUUUGUAUUUUUAGUACAAUCAGGGUUUCAGCAUGUUGGUCAGGCUGGUCUCGAACUCCUGACCUCAUGAUCCGCCUGCCUUGGCUUCCCAAAAUGCUGGGAUUACAGGCGUGAGCCAACGCGCCUGGCCAACUCCUACAUAUUUUAAAGCCACCCCAUUAGUUUUCUAUUUUUUUCCCCUUGGAGAUCUUCCUUUAGGUCAUUUUUACCAUCUGAUAUCUCAAAACUAAGCCAAGGCUGAAUGUGCUGAAAUAGGAUUAGAGAGUACAGUAAUAGGAUAAUUAGAUUUGAUUAGAAAAUGACUGUGUGGGAUUUUGUCAACAGUGAAGAAAUGAUCUAAGUAUGUGGACUCCUAAGUGAAUUGAGCAUGAUGACACUUUAGUGUAGUUAAUGAUCUAAUGCUGGUCUGGUUGAUGAGUCCCAUUGAAAAUGAGAUGCUCUGUUUUCUGGUAAACUUUUCUGCAAAGAAAAAUGUACUAAAUGUUUCAGUUCAGAGUGUUCUAUUUAAAUGAAAUUUCAUUUAAUUGCUUUUAGUUUUACUGCCCAUAAGCCUUCAGUUGUUUCAUUUAAAGUGUACUUUAAGCCCUCCACUAUAUUCACUGUUGAAUCUAAUGAGUAUGAGAGGGUACCUUGGGCACAAUCUCCACGAAUGUAUGAGCCAUAACUACAGUAUAGUAUAUAGAGAUUAGCUUAAGUUAUUUUGCUCUGCUAAAGAUAGAGAAACAAGAGCAGUUUUCUAACAUAAUGUAUGCUUCUGUAAUAGGACUCAGUUAAAAAAUAAUUGGCAAAUAGGAAUGUCAAUGAAAUGUGGAAAUCAAUUGUUUUAUACAUGAUUUUCCCCAAUACGUUAAUGUUUUGACUACCAAGUAAAAGCAGUUGCACUCUAAGUCCACUAACACAGCUGAAGGUAGUAAGCUGUGGAGGAAAGUAGUCCUAUAUAUAACACCCAUUCACUCCUCCUUUUUCCUCUUGGCUUAAUUUCACCAUACGAUCUGUCUUGAAAAUGCUUAUUGCACAAUUCUUCCUGAUCUUUGUGCAUUUGUCCUUGUUUUUGUAACUCAACCUUUGGUUUAUUUAUUCCAUCAUUCUUUCCUAACUCAAACAAAUUUGUGAAGUUCUAAAUGUAUUGAAAUAUAUGUCGUAACUUUUAUUUUUAAUUGUGCUAGCAUUUUCUUAGCUUUGUAAAUGUUUUUUGCAGUGCUAUGGUUGUGAUGUUAUGUAAGUUUUACACUUUUUUCUCCAACAUAAUUUUUUCCCGAAAUAUUGCCAGUUAUUUUUGUUAUUGAAUAGACUUAAUUUUCUUAGAGCAGUUUCAGGAUUACAGAAAAGUCAGAGAGUACAGAAAGUUCCCAUAUAUCUCCCAUCCCUUUUCUCACAGUUUCACUUGUUAUUAACAUCUUACAUUAGUGUGGUACAUUUGUUAACAAUUGAUAAAACAAUUUUGUUACAUUAUUAUUAAGUACACAGUUUACACUAGAGUUUAUUCUUUUUGUUGGUCAGUUCUAUGAGUUUUGAAUAGUGUAUAAUGUCAUAUAUUCACCAUUAUAUUGUCAUGCAGAAUAGUUUCACAUUUCUGAAUAUCCCCUAUUUAUCCCUUCCUCUUCCCCUCACAAACCCCUGGAAUCCAUUGAUCUGAAACUGUCUUGCAGUUUUCUCUUUUCCAGAAUGUAUGUAUAGAGUCAUACAGACUCUGUUGCCCUUUCAAACUGGCUUCUUUCAUUUAACAACACGCAUGUAAGCAUCCUUCAUGACUUUUCAUGGCUUGAUAGCUCAUUUAUUUUUUAUUGUUCAAUAAUAUUUCAUUGUAUGGAUAUGCCACAGUUUAUUUAUCUAUAUAUCUGUUGAAAGAUAUCUCGGUUACUUCCAAUUUUUGGCAAUUAUGAAUAAAGAUACUAUAA
rnacentral:lncRNA from 10 species